rnacentral:rRNA from 1 species
UCAGAACGAACGCUGGCGGCAGGCUUAACACAUGCAAGUCGAGCGCCCCGCAAGGGGAGCGGCAGACGGGUGAGUAACGCGUGGGAAUCUACCCUUGACUACGGAAUAACGCAGGGAAACUUGUGCUAAUACCGUAUGUGUCCUUCGGGAGAAAGAUUUAUCGGUCAAGGAUGAGCCCGCGUUGGAUUAGCUAGUUGGUGGGGUAAAGGCCUACCAAGGCGACGAUCCAUAGCUGGUCUGAGAGGAUGAUCAGCCACAUUGGGACUGAGACACGGCCCAAACUCCUACGGGAGGCAGCWGUGGGGAAUAUUGGACAAUGGGCGCAAGCCUGAUCCAGCCAUGCCGCGUGAGUGAUGAAGGCCCUAGGGUUGUAAAGCUCUUUCACCGGAGAAGAUAAUGACG